rnacentral:rRNA from 1 species
AUACGUAGGUGGCGAGCGUUAUCCGGAAUUACUGGGUGUAAAGGGUGUGUAGGCGGGGAACCAAGUCAGAUGUGAAAAUUACGGGCUCAACCCGUAACCUGCGUCUGAAACUGGAUCUCUUGAGAGUGGGAGAGGGAAACGGAAUUCCUGGUGUAGCGGUGAAAUGCGUAGAUAUCAGGAGGAACACCGGUGGCGAAGGCGGUUUACUGGACCACAACUGACGCUGAGACACGAAAGCGUGGGGAGCAAACAGGAUUAGAUACCCUGGUAGUCCACGCUGUAAACGAUGAAUGCUAGGUGUAGGGGUCGUAGGACAUCUGUGCCGCAGUUAACACAAUAAGCAUUCCACCUGGGGAGUACGGCCGCAAGGUUGAAACUCAAAUGAAUUGACGGGG